rnacentral:rRNA from 1 species
AUUGAACGCUGGCGGCAUGCCUUACACAUGCAAGUCGAACGGCAGCACGGGAGCAAUCCUGGUGGCGAGUGGCGAACGGGUGAGUAAUAUAUCGGAACGUGCCCAGUCGUGGGGGAUAACGUAGCGAAAGCUACGCUAAUACCGCAUACGAUCUAUGGAUGAAAGCGGGGGAUCGCAAGACCUCGCGCGAUUGGAGCGGCCGAUAUCAGAUUAGGUAGUUGGUGGGGUAAAAGCCUACCAAGCCUUCGAUCUGUAGCUGGUCUGAGAGGACGACCAGCCACACUGGAACUGAGACACGGUCCAGACUCCUACGGGAGGCAGCAGUGGGGAAUUUUGGACAAUGGGCGCAAGCCUGAUCCAGCAAUGCCGCGUGCAGGAUGAAGGCCUUCGGGUUG